AACCUCACCGGUUGAUACAAUUAAUGAGCGAUCAACAAGGCCCAUGACCUAGGUUGGUGACCUUUAUUGUAUUGCUGGGGCGCUUGCCUCAGGUUGACCCAAGUAGUAGAGCCUAUGUUAUAAUUUGUGGCAGUGUGGGACUCUAUUCAAUCCAUG